rnacentral:rRNA from 1 species
AUGAACGCUGGCGGCGUGCUUAACACAUGCAAGUCGAACGAAGCACUUUAUUUGAUUUCCUUCGGGAUUGAUUAUUUUGUGACUGAGUGGCGGACGGGUGAGUAACGCGUGGGUAACCUGCCUUGUACAGGGGGAUAACAGUUGGAAACGGCUGCUAAUACCGCAUAAGCGCACAGCAUCGCAUGAUGCAGUGUGAAAAACUCCGGUGGUAUAAGAUGGACCCGCGUUGGAUUAGCUAGUUGGUGAGGUAACGGCCCACCAAGGCGACGAUCCAUAGCCGACCUGAGAGGGUGACCGGCCACAUUGGGACUGAGACACGGCCCAAACUCCUACGGGAGGCAGCAGUGGGGAAUAUUGCACAAUGGGCGAAAGCCUGAUGCAGCGACGCCGCGUGAGCGAAGAAGUAUUUCGGUAUGUAAAGCUCUAUCAGCAGGGAAGAUAAUGACGGUACCUGACUAAGAAGCACCGGCUAAAUACGUGCCAGCAGCCGCGGUAAUACGUAUGGUGCAAGCGUUAUCCGGAUUUACUGGGUGUAAAGGGAGCGCAGGCGGUGCGGCAAGUCUGAUGUGAAAGCCCGGGGCUCAACCCCGGUACUGCAUUGGAAACUGUCGUACUAGAGUGUCGGAGGGGUGAGCGGAAUUCCUAGUGUAGCGGUGAAAUGCGUAGAUAUUAGGAGGAACACCAGUGGCGAAGGCGGCCUACUGGGCACCAACUGACGCUGAGGCUCGAAAGUGUGGGUAGCAAACAGGAUUAGAUACCCUGGUAGUCCACACUGUAAACGAUGAUUACUAGGUGUGGGGGGUCUGACCCCUUCCGUGCCGGAGUUAACACAAUAAGUAAUCCACCUGGGGAGUACGGCCGCAAGGUUGAAACUCAAAGGAAUUGACGGGGGCCCGCACAAGCAGUGGAGUAUGUGGUUUAAUUCGAAGCAACGCGAAGAACCUUACCAGGUCUUGACAUCCGAUGCAUAGCGCAGAGAUGCGUGAAGUCCUUCGGGACAUCGAGACAGGUGGUGCAUGGUUGUCGUCAGCUCGUGUCGUGAGAUGUUGGGUUAAGUCCCGCAACGAGCGCAACCCUUAUCUUUAGUAGCCAGCGGUUUGGCCGGGCACUCUAGAGAGACUGCCAGGGAUAACCUGGAGGAAGGCGGGGAUGACGUCAAAUCAUCAUGCCCCUUAUGACUUGGGCUACACACGUGCUACAAUGGCGUAAACAAAGGGAAGCAAAGCUGUGAAGCCGAGCAAAUCUCAAAAAUAACGUCUCAGUUCGGACUGUAGUCUGCAACCCGACUACACGAAGCUGGAAUCGCUAGUAAUCGCAGAUCAGAAUGCUGCGGUGAAUACGUUCCCGGGUCUUGUACACACCGCCCGUCACACCAUGGGAGUUGGGAAUGCCCGAAGCCAGUGACCUAACCGAAAGGAAGGAGCUGUCGAAGGCAGGCUCGAUAACUGGGGUG